CCUGUGGACGGAAGGGUGGAGAGAAGUGGAGAUGCCUUUGCCUCCCCCCCCCCCCAAGAGGGAAAGAGACAGAGAGCCUGACGGCACCUGGAAAUUUGCCGGCAGAGGAGAAGGAGAAGGGGGGGAAUGGUGCCCAGCGUGGGAGGCGGAAAGCCGGACCGAGAUAUCAGCCGUCCAGGGAGUCUGAACUUUUAACCCUUUCCAGGAAAUGAGGGCUUUUCAAAAGUAUUACUCCUCCUUGAUUUGUAGUGGAAGAGAGAUAGUCCGGGAACUGAGAUGUUAGAAGAAGAAAAUAUUUAGGUGGGAAGAGAUGAUGAAGUAGCUUUGGCUGGACUUUUCUUGUUAGCCAUGGACUGAACCAAAAUCUCCUGCAAUGGAGACUGCAUUUUAGGGGGAUGCAGUGGUGACCCAGGGAGACCUGUUUCAGCUUCGAACAGCACAAGAAUGGCGAGAAACGAAGAAAGCUGAAGAGGGAAUGGUGAUACCCUCUGUCUUCGGGAAGAAGAUGAGUCCUGUUUUUGAACCCUCAGCCCCAGGAGAAAAUAGAGGGGACUGUAGUCCCAGGAUGAGAAACUGAACUGUUGUAUCUUUGGGUCUUUGGCAAAGCAUCCUUAAAGGAGCCCUAUGAGCAGUCUGUCCAAGCACGGUGAUGCAGCCAGAUGGAAUCCGUGGCAGAGGGCCCCGUCCCGGGUGAGGGGGGUCCCCCAAGAAGGAGCUAAAGCCAGAUACUAGCGGUCAAGG